rnacentral:rRNA from 1 species
CCCUUAGAUGUUCUGGGCCGCACGCGUGCUACACUGAUGCAUUCAACGAGUCUAAAACCUGGUCUGAUAGGGCUGGGUAAUCUUUUGAAAGUGCAUCGUGAUUGGGAUAGAUGAUUGCAAUUCUUCAUCUUCAACGAGGAAUGCCUAGUAAACGCAAGUCAUCAGCUUGCAUUGAUUACGUCCCUGCCCUUUGUACACACCGCCCGUCGCUCCUACCGAUUGAAUGAUCCGAUGAAUACCAUGGAUUGAGAGUACGAAUAGGUUCGCUUAUUUCUGCUUCGCGAGAAGUGGAGUAAAUCUUAUCAUUUAGAGGAAGGAGAAGUCGUAACA